rnacentral:tRNA from 1 species
GUGAGCAUAGCUUAGUGGUAGAGUGCAUGCUUAGCACACAUGAGGUCCUAGGUUCAAUCCCCAGUACCUCCA